rnacentral:rRNA from 1 species
UUGACCUCGGAUCAGGUAGGGAUACCCGCUGAACUUAAGCAUAUCAAUAAGCGGAGGAAAAGAAACCAACAGGGAUUGCUCUAGUAACGGCGAGUGAAGCAGCAAUAGCUCAAAUUUGAAAUCUGGCGUCUUCGACGUCCGAGUUGUAAUUUGUAGAGGAUGCUUCUGAGUGGCCACCGACCUAAGUUCCUUGGAACAGGACGUCAUAGAGGGUGAGAAUCCCGUAUGCGGUCGGAAAGGCGCUCUAUACGUAGCUCCUUCGACGAGUCGAGUUGUUUGGGAAUGCAGCUCUAAAUGGGAGGUAAAUUUCUUCUAAAGCUAAAUAUUGGCCAGAGACCGAUAGCGCACAAGUAGAGUGAUCGAAAGAUGAAAAGCACUUUGGAAAGAGAGUUAAAAAGCACGUGAAAUUGUUAAAAGGGAAGGGAUUGCAACCAGACUUGCUCGCGGUGUUCCGCCGGUCUUCUGACCGGUCUACUCGCCGCGUUGCAGGCCAGCAUCGUCUGGUGCCGCUGGAUAAGACUUGAGGAAUGUAGCUCCCUCGGGAGUGUUAUAGCCUCUUGUGAUGCAGCGAGCGCCGGGCGAGGUCCGCGCUUCGGCUAGGAUGCUGGCGUAAUGGUCGUAAUCCGCCCGUCUUGAAACACGGACCAAGGAGUCUAACAUCUAUGCGAGUGUUCGGGUGUCAAACCCCUACGCGUAAUGAAAGUGAACGGAGGUGAGAACCGCAAGGUGCAUCAUCGACCGAUCCUGAUGUCUUCGGAUGGAUUUGAGUAAGAGCAUAGCUGUUGGGACCCGAAAGAUGGUGAACUAUGCCUGAAUAGGGUGAAGCCAGAGGAAACUCUGGUGGAGGCUCGCAGCGGUUCUGACGUGCAAAUCGAUCGUCAAAAUUUGGGUAUAGGG